UACGAAGGGGGCUAGCGUUGCUCGGAAUCACUGGGCGUAAAGCGUGCGCAGGCGGUUUUGUAAGUCUGUCGUGAAAUCCCCGGGCUCAACCUGGGAAUUGCGAUGGAGACUGCAAGGCUAGAAUCUGGCAGAGGGGGGGUAGAAUUCCACGUGUAGCAGUGAAAUGCGUAGAGAUGUGGAGGAACACCGAUGGCGCAAGGCAGCCCCCUGGGUCAAGAUUGACGCUCAUGCACGAAAGCGUGGGGAGCAAACAGGGAUUACGAA
rnacentral:rRNA from 1 species